GAGUAUGCUCGGAUCCAAUGAGAACUGCUAAUUCCUCAUGUCCAUGGUUCAAAUCCAUGGCUUACUCA
rnacentral:tRNA from 1 species